UACGUAGGGGGCAAGCGUUGUCCGGAAUCAUUGGGCGUAAAGCGCGUGUAGGCGGCCCGAUAAGUCCGCUGUGAAAGUCCAGGGCUCAACCCUGGAAUGCCGGUGGAUACUGUCGGGCUCGAGUCCGGAAGAGGCGAGUGGAAUUCCUGGUGUAGCGGUGAAAUGACGCAGAUAUCAGGAGGAACACCGGUGGCGAAGGCGGCCUUCUGGACGAUGACUGACGCUGAGACGCGAAAGCGUGGGGGAGCAAACAGG
rnacentral:rRNA from 1 species